AUUCAGUGGGGGAGGAACCACACACCCGGGAAUUAGGUUCCCAGGGGAACGCUAAUUCUGGGACACACUGCACCUAGAGAAGAAGUCAACAAUAGCCAGGUGUAGCCAAUUCAUUGUGUAUCAGGCAAACUAGAUUCAGCUGUAAGGCAGGGAAUAACUCAGCUAGUCAUUAGCUCACGGUAGGAGUAGAGUACUUUUAAGCCACAGGUUACCAUCCGAAGAGGAAGAAAAAGGCAGGCAAGGAGUUGGAAGCAGCAGGGAGUCAGGAGGAGAAAAAGGAGAUGGAGGUCGGGAUCCGAAGGGAGGCCAGGCACCCAAGUCCCAGACGACCAAGGAGGGUCGGACAGACGGGCAAGCAGCCGGACAGAGCCACGGAAACCGGCAUUUUGCCGGGAUCGGACGCCGCGAAUCUCCCCCAGUCAGAGGCCGGCAUAUUGCCUGAGCUGGGCAUCGCGAACCUUCCCCCGUCGCAUCCAUCGUGGAAGCCCAGAUUAAGCCUACCCAACCCAUAAGAGUGGAGAACGUCUUAACACAUUGAAGUUAAGUAACCUACCUCCUUGUCACACUAAAGACUGUAAAUUGCAGGUUAGCCGUCAGCUAACGAUGGACCUGUGCUCUACUGCUUUCGAGGACGCUGCCUUUUCCCUGCUUUGCCUGCUAUACGUCCACCUGCCUGAAACACAUUAUCGCCCUACACAGCCAGAUCGUGGAGCUUACUGCCCGGGCUGUUCGUUUCACUUGUGCACCCUCCCACAGCCCAACUCCCCUGCUGGAGGAGACGAGCAACUGCAGCCCCAGACUCCCUGCAGGAAAGAUGGAGGACCACCGCCGUGCCACGACACGGACUAGGCCCUCACUGCCCCAUUCCCCGGCUCUCUCGUCCCCAUCAUAAAGAGACUCCCAUUUUAAAUAUUUAAUAAAACAAUAACUUUUAGAUCUUGAUUCCUUGAGUCCUGACAUCAUCUUUGGGGUGGGGAUACAGUUUGCUCCUCAGUCAGUGACAGUUUGGAUUAAGUGGAGGUCCCAGCGCCCCCCACCUGUGACAAUAAUACACAAACUGAAAUGGCAAGAGAACUAC
ensembl:lncRNA